CACCAUGCCUAGUCUCGCUGCAGUCACUACCACACCUUCGGUGGCUUGUUACAGCUUCACCAAGGUGUGCUAGUGAUGACAGGGAGAUAGGUACAAUCA
rnacentral:pre_miRNA from 1 species